rnacentral:rRNA from 1 species
CAGAGGGUGCAAGCGUUGUUCGGAAUUAUUGGGCGUAAAGGGCGCGUAGGCGGCGGAGCAAGUCAGAUGUGAAAUCCCUGGGCUCAACCCAGGAAGUGCAUCUGAUACUGCUUUGCUUGAAUCCCGGAGAGGGUGGUGGAAUUCCUGGUGUAGAGGUGAAAUUCGUAGAUAUCAGGAGGAACACCGGUGGCGAAGGCGACCACCUGGACGGAGAUUGACGCUGAGGCGCGAAAGCGUGGGGAGCAAACAGGAUUAGAUACCCUGGUAGUCCACGCUGUAAACGAUGGGUACUAGGUGUUGUGGGUAUUGACCCCUACAGUGCCGACGCUAACGCAUUAAGUACCCCGCCUGGGAAGUACGGCCGCAAGGCUA